UUCUUCCAGAAGGCAGUGGAGAUAGCUACAUUGAUUGGGACACCUGAAGCCAAUCAAGGGCUGGCUGGAACUAGUUAAAAGCCUCCCAGUUAGUCAGUGACAUGCAGGUGUCAGGAGCUAUAGGAGGGAGCUGUGCUGCUGGAGGAAUGAAGCAGUACAAAUCCGUAUCAAGUGUAAGGAAGGAGGCCCUGAGAGCUAGAAAAAGGAGCAACACACAAUUGAGGAGUUUUUCCCCUUUCGAACAGGACCCAGAACUCACUUCUAGUUCUACAAGAUAUAUACAGUUUCGCGCACCGAGGCACCUGGCUGUACACCCAGAAGGCUAAGAGAAAUAAUCCCAAUAGGGCACUUUCAACUAGACUCUGUGCAGUAUCAUCCACACUGAUCUCACUGACAUUUUUCCAAACUUCACUAAUUCAUAUUGGACCUUCUGUUCUGUACAUGCCUGAAGUCCUAUGGCAUGAAAAAAAAUGGCUGCACAUGACCCAUUUUAAACUAAUUAUUUGUUCCAUAGUUAUGUUUAUAUGGGCUAUUUUAAUGCAGUGGCACAAACUUCACACCAGGCCAGAGCAAAAAAGAGGUAAUGAUCUCCACAAAGAAUGGGGUUAAUUGACUUCAAUCCACAAUACCUGCCAGAGUUGUCAAGCUUUAAGAAAGAGCCCAUACAGCUAGAGUAAAUUAUCAGCAGAUAGAACAAGAGAGGUCUCAGAAGACAUCCCCCCUCCUUCUUUCAAGGCUCAGAGGAAACUACACUAGGCUACCUGCAAUCCUCAAGCCCUGCAAUGGAACAUGGGACUGCUUGUGGCCCUUUGGGCCUCUAACUACUUUUUCUAGAUAAUCUGUCCAACUUGCAUUUUGCUGUGAUGCUAGGAGUACCUUUCCCAGACCGGAAAAAGAGCUGUGUGUGGCUCGAACGCUUGCCUCUCUCUCAAACAGAAGUUGAUCCAGUAAAAGAUAUUACCUCACUAA